UACAGAGGGUGCGAGCGUUAAUCGGAAUUACUGGGCGUAAAGCGUGCGUAGGCGGCUAUCUAAGUCGCGUGUGAAAGCCCCCGGCUCAACUGGGGAGGGUCACGCGAUACUGAUCGACUCGAAGGCAGGAGAGGGUAGUGGAAUUCCCGGUGUAGUGGUGAAAUGCGUAGAUAUCUGGAGGAACACCGGUGGCGAAGGCGGCAUCCUGGACCAACACUGACGCUGAGGAGCGAAAGCCAGGGGAGCAAACGGG
rnacentral:rRNA from 1 species